ensembl:misc_RNA Metazoa_SRP Metazoan signal recognition particle RNA
GCCACUGGAUGUGGUGGUACACACCUGUAGUCCCAGCUACUUGGGAGGCUGAGACAGGAGGAUUGCCUGAGUCCAGGAGUUCUGGGCUGUAGUGCGCUAUGCCGAUCGGGUGUCUGCACUAAGUUCAGCAUCAAUAUGGUGACUUCCCGGGAGUGGGGGGCUACCAGGUUACCUAAGGAGGAGUGAACUGGCCCAGGUUGGAAACGGAGCAGGUCAAAACUCCUGUGCUGAUCAGUAGAGAGAUCACGCCUGUGAAUAGCCACUGCACUCCAUCCUGGGCAACAUAGUGAGACCCGGUCU